ensembl:lncRNA
AAUUAUAGUCCCACUCCACGUAUGGUGCCUGGGAGCCAAGGCCUCCCCUUCCAGUACAGGUUUUCAGCACAAAUUAAUCUAGUUUACAAAUCACGUGUUGCAACUGGGAAUAGGAGGGGACUGUCUUCCACCUUUUUGCUGAAGUGGCUUCACUGUGCAGAAAAAGAUAAAGCAGAAGUUUAUGACCAGUGAAAGGGCAAGGAUAAAUCUGUAAUCCAAGGUGUAGUCUCAUGUCUGGAAAGAUCUUUUUUUUUAUUCAAUGUCACUCGGUGACUGUUUCAUGUGAAAAGUAAAGGCAGAAGCUGGCAAUCUGUGCUUCCAGCUUUGUCCCUGCUGUUCAACCCAGAGCUUGAACCAGGCCCCUAAAACACUGCUUUGAAAGUCAUCAGUUGAAACCCCUCAGGACCAGACUGGCUUUAUACAUGAAACAAUUGCCAAAGUAUUCAGGCAGAGGAAGAGCUGAGCUCAAGCAGAUAUAUACAGUACAAAAUAUAUUAAAUUCAUAUGCUGAGAAUUUGUAUCAAUAUCCAGUACCUAUAAAGUCCUGACGCUUCCCUUGUAGGGCAACAGCUGAGUGUGUAUUCACAGCUGCAAUUCAGUGCCUUCUCCCCAGUGACAUGUCCAAGGCCUCCCAAGACACAAACCCUCUGCUUAGCUCCUUACAUUCCCCUACUUCUGGGGCUACAAAAUAAAUGAGACUGGAAAUAAUCAAGUGAUAAAAAAUCAUGUCAUGACUUAGAUACAUUGAUAGCAUUGUAUGUCACAGUUUGCUGUCUCAGGAGCUCAGCGCCCACACAAACAGUGACAGUAUGGGCCUACGAAGGCAGAUCAUCUCAUGUGACCACAGUGUACAUUGCCACCUGUCCUAGGAGAAUGAAUGCUUCAACUUAAAUCUUUCCCAAGUCUCAUUUCUGCACCCUGACUGGUUGUUAACAUCGGUGCACACAAACCACUGUGCCUCGUACGGAAACCCAAGUGAUGCCCGCGUUUAGGGUCAGGCCGGCCCCCAGGCUGGCUAUGGCACUGGCUGUGGGAGGGAUUGUAACCAACAGUGGUGUGGGGACAAGGGGACACAGGCUGUGGCAGCACGCACAAGGCAAUGAGAAGGUCAUGAGCCUUACAGAGGAGAUGCUGCUCGCAGCAUGGUGUGACAGGGAAGUUGGGAACAAAGAUGAGCCAAGUUUUAAGUCUGCACUCUUGAGACUGUAGUGGAAAAAUUAAUUUCUCAGCUCUGUGUCCCAAAAGAUAAGCUUAAAAAAUGGAGAAAUAAGCCAGUUUCUACCAGAUAACAAAUCUUGGAAACAGUGAAAGAAACAUGUCCAAAAAGAGAACCUGAAUUUCACAGCCUAUGAUGUUUCUAAAUGGCAUAUGCUGUUAAAGAAAAAUUGAAUGAACAUGCACAAACUGCCUGACAGCAGAGGUAUGGGAUGAAUUAUGGAUAUUUUCUAGCAUAUGCUACUAUUUUGACGCUCUGCCAUGUUGUGCCAGACAGUAACGGGGUCACAGGAGGAAGGAGCAGAACACCAGCGGAGCCUGUGCUCAGAGAUCUUUGGUGUAGCAAAGCCCAUGCUUUCCAGCCAGCAAACUCAAAUGGUUUAUAUUGAAAAACGUGUUGGAUAAAUACAAUAGCCUUUAAUGGGAGAAACCGAACUGGUUUAACUUUUUUUAUGCCUCUGUCUCAGCUAGAGCAGCUACUUAUUUUGCAAAUAUCUCAGCUUAUCUCAGUUCACCACCACCACAGACCAGUACCACUGAAGACUUGCUAAGGAACUGCUGUUGUAUAGGUGCCAGUUUUCAUCUAUCACAGCCUCUCUGUUUUGUUCAUUAUUGGCUCCUCAUACAGGGGAGCACUGUGAUCCUACAGCACAUAAUCAAGAAAUUAUUGAGUAUAGAAGGAGAUAUAAUUUCUCUGCCGUUGGUAUUAUUAAAAUAAAUUUACAGAACAAUUUCAAUUCUGGUGAUCUUGCUUCAGGAAUCAUGCCAAAGAGUUAGGAGGAGUUUACGAAAAAGUCACCAGAGAAAACUGCAAAAGUCAGAUCUUCAGAAUAUCUGAAGAGGUAUGCCUUAAUAUCUUGUAAUUCCUUUACAGCUCCCUUGUACCACUGUCAUUUGCAAAUUAUCUCAUCAUUUCACACUCCAUACAAGUGAAGGCUGCUGUACUGUGGUGGGUUUUUUUUGUUUUUGUUUUUGUUUUGUUUUGUUUUUGUUUGUUUGGUUUGUUUUGUUUAAAACAAAUCAGUAACUGGUUUAUUAGCUUUCCAAGUAAUGAGAAUCCGGAAAGAUUUCUCUUAAAUUUAACUGAUACUCAUAAUCAUUUUUUGAAGCUUUUGGAAAAUACUGGUUGUUAGGUGCCUUCUGAUAGAGUCUCCAUCAUAUACUUGAGUAAUGCUAAUCAUAGGCACCAAAUAAGGAGCUUUAUUGGAUGAGUUAUUUGUUUCUGACCCACUCUCCUAAACAAUUCAGUCAAAUAGAUUUCUAGUAGAGAAAUGCGAGCUAAAAAAAAUUAAAAAUCACUAUAAAAUGUCUGAAUUUUUGUUUAUUCUUUCUAAAGGACAGGUAAUCUAAAAACCAACCAAACAGACAAACAAAAGCCACAAACAAAAACCAUCCAGACUUGUUUAUAAGCAGAAAGAGCUGCAUUUUUAAUGCUGGCACAGUUUAUGUGAUAUAUGUUUGUCAGGUUGCCUACUCCCCUGAAAGAUACCAAGGUUUGCUGACAUUGUAUCAUUUCUUCUCUGUAGAUUAUUAUCUUCCAUUGACUCCCACUUUCUGUAGCUUUCUGCAUACUUACACACAGAAUUUGAAACAAAGAAUUGAGGUUUAGUUUUCUUUCUUUUUCCUAUCUCUCUAAGGAAAGAAUAAAAGCAGGAUAUUUAAGAUAAGAGGAUUUUAUACGGUGAAGAAGUUAUUGCUUACAUCCUAAGGUGCUAGCUGAGAAGAUGAAGUUGACAGCAAACACCAUAUGAAAUUUACAUGUGCCCACUCCAAUAGU